rnacentral:rRNA from 1 species
UACGGGGGGGGCAAGCGUUGUUCGGAAUUACUGGGCGUAAAGGGCGCGUAGGCGGCCUGCUAAGUCGGAUGUGAAAUCCCUCGGCUCAACCGAGGAACUGCAUCCGAUACUGGCGGGCUUGAAUCCGGGAGAGGGAUGUGGAAUUCCAGGUGUAGCGGUGAAAUGCGUAGAUAUCGGGAGGAACACCAGUGGCGAAGGCGGUUGCCUGGAGCUUUGCUGACGCUGAGGCGCGAAAGCGUGGGGAGCGAUCCGG